UGGGGAAUAGUGGGCAAUGGGCGAAAGCCUGACCCAGCGACGCCGCGUGGGUGAUGAAGGCCUUCGGGUUGUAAAACCCUUUCGUGCGGAAGGAAUAGUCCUGUAGCGAAUAACUACGGGAUUUGACGGUACCGCAGGAAGAAGCACCGGCUAACUCCGUGCCAGCAGCCGCGGUAAUACGGAGGGUGCAAGCGUUGUUCGGAAUUAUUAGGCGUAAAGGGCGCGUAGGUGGUUGUGAUAGUCAGAUGUGAAAUCCUUCGGCUCAACCGAAGAACUGCAUCUGAAACUUCAUAGCUCGAGUACAGGAGAGGGAAACGGAAUUCACGGUGUAGAGGUGAAAUUCGUAGAUAUCGGGAGGAACACCAGUGGCGAAGGCGGUUUCCUGGCCUGAUACUGACGCUGAGGCGCGAAAGCGUGGGGAGCAAACAG
rnacentral:rRNA from 1 species